UUGUGAACUUGUGAGGGAGAGAUGAGACCUUGAGAGAGGAGUGGGCAGCUGCAUAGAGGAGAGGAAAAAGAGAGCUGGAAAACGUGAGAGGAAGAAGAAGGAGGAGAACCAGCAGCUGAAUAGUGUCAAACCUUCCUCAAACUUAGUUAAAUUCAGAAGGUGGUGCGGUCGGGAUUGGACCAUCAUCAAGACAGGAACGACCCACAGGUGGAGCAGGGACGUCACACCAACGAGAUGUCUAGGAUACCCGAUACACGGGAACCUACUUUUGCAAGGAAUUAAGUAGAUGCAUUCUAAAUCACAAUGUAUUUUGUAGGGAUCAAUGUACUGAAUGUAUAACUUUUAUUAGAUCCUUUU